GUAAGCCGUUCGUAUUGCUUUUCCUGUUCGGCUGCUUCCAGAGUUCGUGUAUUUCUUGUUCGUGAGUUGGGGAUUCGUACAGUUUGGAGUUCGGGAAGUUGGUGAUUGCAAUAGCUGCUGGUCUAUGGGAAAGGGGAUUAUCGCCUAAACGGAUUUAUCCCCGUUUGAGAGAAACGGUCCGUUACAACCCUCAACAGUGAGAUUGCAAUUGGGGGUCCUGUGGCUGGGACGCCAGACAAAGGUGAGUUUAACUUACCUGAAACUGUCCUUUGCGGGUGUCACCAUUUUCUUCUGGCCAGUCCUCUUCUGUUACUGGUGCUUAGGUGCCUGGAGCACAAAUCACUGCGCGCAAUAGAUAGAUAGAGCCAAUUCCCUGCAGCUGCCACUGGUGAUGGCUGAGGGAAUGACACUUCUAGACAGCGGUACCUCCACCAACGUCUAUAAGUGUCAUGCAUAGAAAAAAUACUGAGACAAAGUAGUCCAUUCCUUGUCUCUGUAUAUCUCUUGACUGGGUUGAAAUUUCAUGAAAUUCCUACACAGUCAAUAUGAGUAUUUCAUAAAGAUUUUAUGAGUAUGAAAUACUCUUUUUUUUUUUUUUGUAGGUAGGAGGGGGUGAUAGUGCCACUUUAAAGUAAAACUGAACAAACAAAAUGAAAGAGAUGGAGGGCCACUUACAUAUAGUAAGUGGAGUCCAUACUCAUUCACAAAUAUAUACCUCCUAAUGUAAAUGUGACAUAAAGAAGGGGGAGAGGGGUAUCAACCUUUAUUAGGAAAAUGAAAAAAUUAAAUCAAUACUUAAAAAUGGUAAAAAAUUACCAAGAGUAAAUACACCGACCCGAUGUGUGAGUAGAGUAAGAUUUAAACACUCAUAGAGAAAAUCUGGGAUAGGUAUCUCUAAGUUAUAUAGUAUUCUAUAAGUGUAUCUAUAAGGGAGCCCUUUCCAUAAAGCAUAAAAGGUAGAAAUGCCAAAGAGGUUGGCGUUUGUCCAAAAAAUUAUGGUAGGGAUAUAUAGUGCCUGGCAGUGGUUAUGGUACCAAAGGGAGCAAAGGGCUGUAGUCACUAAUAUAGGAAAAUGUGUAUAGGGGAUGUAUUAGAGAGUGUAUGCUCACUUCUAUAGAAUAAAGGAGCACAUCCACCUAUUUGCAGAAUUUAGAAUAUUAUAGCAAAAACUAUUUCCAUGUUUGCCAAAUUGUUUUUUCAAAUUUUCAAUAAACAUCUUGCAAACUACAGAUAUUGGAACGAGCAAUGCAUCUAAUCUUUGAAAAUGAUGUGUGGUAGAUGCCACCUUUCAUAUUUUGGCUCAUUAAAUCUACUUACAGAAAUACAA